UAACACGUAGGUAACCUGCCCAUGUGUCCGGGAUAACUGCUGGAAACGGUAGCCAAAACCGGAUAGGUAUACAGAGCGCAUGCUCAGUAUAUUAAAGCGCCCUUCAAGGCGUGAACAUGGAUGGACCUGCGGCGCAUUAGCUAGUUGGUGAGGUAACGGCCCACCAAGGCGAUGAUGCGUAGCCGGCCUGAGAGGGUAAACGGCCACAUUGGGACUGAGACACGGCCCAA
rnacentral:rRNA from 1 species